rnacentral:tRNA from 1 species
UGGUUAGAUAACAUAAUUGGUAAUGUACAAGAUUGCAAAUCUUGUAAUAAGGGUUCAAGUCCCUUUCUAACCU